AAUCUUGUUUUCGCUAGUUACCUGUAACUCUCAAAAGAUUUGACUUAAGAAAAAGAAAAAAAAAGAAACAGUAGAUAAUUUAAUAUCCCUAUAUCAAAUGAAAAAAAUAUAGACUAGAUCUGGGAGUAUGGCAUAUGGAUAAAAUAUGCAACUGUUUCAAAAUGAGAGCUGAUUCUGGUCUUCCUAAGUCUACUUUUCCUAUUAAUCCAUUAUGCUUAUACCAUUUUAGUGUCGUUGUGAAGAGAAGGCUUAAAAAAGUUUUACUCUGUGUCAAAGAUUUUUCAGAUACAAUAGGUUCUUCUUGGCUGAACCCCUAACAAACUUUGCAUCUUCUUUAUUAACUGUUUUCAAACUCUCUUUAUAAAAAGUAAUCACCUCUCGGUUUCAUGUAUAUUACCUGUGGGAUGAACAAUUGCAUAAUUUUUGGUGAAUUAUAAAUAUGAUUUUCAUGAUAUUCUGUUUCCUUCAUUUAAAACCAUUAAACCUAAAAAUAAUAGCACCAAUCGAUUGAACCAGCAAGAGUUGUCAUUGCUUGAUGUUAGAAAAAGGUGCCAAUAUGUAUUUUAUUAUUAUUACUAUUAUUUUGCUUAGUAUUAAAUGAGGGUCCCUCACUUUAAGUAGUCAGAAUAUUACACUGGGUUUCAACCAAAAAGAGAAAUGAU
rnacentral:lncRNA from 10 species